UACUCCCUUCUCUUUCAACAAUACGUAAAACAAAAAAAAAACAAAAAAACAACCAAACUCCCUCCUUCAAUCUCACGUAAAAAGCAAACCCUCAAGAACUCCUCCUCCCUCACGUUGCCUCCAAGCUCAGCCGCCACCACCGCCGGACCAGUCGCCGCCGCCCGCCGCCGUACUCGCCGCCAGCACAGCCACCUUGCCGUCGCCUGACGGCGACCUUUGUACGCCAACCACCACCACCGGUGCGCCGUCGUGCCCCUCCUUGCCGUCGUUCCACCGCUGCCGCGCCUGUGCUCCGCCGGCCAGCAUCUCCUUGAAUCCUUCUUGGCGGAGAAUUCUCUUUAGGCGACUUUUGAAAAUGUUAAAGUGCCCUAUCAGUUGUUUACACAAGUCUCUAAGGAUCAAUAAGCGUUGCCCAUCUACAGGUUUGAAGAUGAUGCAUCAUUGGGAUCGGGAUUAGAGAGCUUGUAGUUCAUUUGAUUUUCUAAGUUGGAUUUGGUUUGUUUAAGUGGACUCUAAAACUUAUUGAAUUAGUAACAUUAACUUUGUUUUUCGUUGAUUGGUUUUUGGGAUUUAUUCUGAAAAUGAUUAUUUAUAAACCUACAGUUAGUUUUAUGUUUUCCG